rnacentral:rRNA from 1 species
AGACUGUUGCGGCAAGACUUAACAUGCAGUCGAACGGCAGCACGGGUGCUUGCACCUGGUGGCGAGUGGCGAACGGGUGAGUAAUACAUCGGAACAUGUCCUGUAGUGGGGGAUAGCCCGGCGAAAGCCGGAUUAAUACCGCAUACGAUCCACGGAUGAAAGCGGGGGACCUUCGGGCCUCGCGCUAUAGGGUUGGCCGAUGGCUGAUUAGCUAGUUGGUGGGGUAAAGGCCUACCAAGGCGACGAUCAGUAGCUGGUCUGAGAGGACGACCAGCCACACUGGGACUGAGACACGGCCCAGACUCCUACGGGAGGCAGCAGUGGGGAAUUUUGGACAAUGGGCGAAAGCCUGAUCCAGCAAUGCCGCGUGUGUGAAGAAGGCCUUCGGGUUGUAAAGCACUUUUGUCCGGAAAGAAAUCCUUGGCUCUAAUACAGUCGGGGGAUGACGGUACCGGAAGAAUAAGCACCGGCUAACUACGUGCCAGCAGCCGCGGUAAUACGUAGGGUGCAAGCGUUAAUCGGAAUUACUGGGCGUAAAGCGUGCGCAGGCGGUUUGCUAAGACCGAUGUGAAAUCCCCGGGCUCAACCUGGGAACUGCAUUGGUGACUGGCAGGCUAGAGUAUGGCAGAGGGGGGUAGAAUUCCACGUGUAGCAGUGAAAUGCGUAGAGAUGUGGAGGAAUACCGAUGGCGAAGGCAGCCCCCUGGGCCAAUACUGACGCUCAUGCACGAAAGCGUGGGGAGCAAACAGGAUUAGAUACCCUGGUAGUCCACGCCCUAAACGAUGUCAACUAGUUGUUGGGGAUCAUUUCCUUAGUAACGUAGCUAACGCGUGAAGUUGACCGCCUGGGGAGUACGGUCGCAGAUUAAAACUCAAAGGAAUUGACGGGGGACCCGCACAAGCGGUGGAUGAUGUGGAUUAAUUCGAUGCAACGCGAAAAACCCUUACCUACCCUUGACAUGGUCGGAUUCUUGCUGAAAGGCGGGAGUGCUCGAAAGAAGACCCGGCGCACAGGUGCUGCAUGUCUGUCGUCAGCUCGUGGUCUGGAGAUUUGGGUAAGUUCCCGCUACAGCGCCAACCCUUGUCCUUAGUUGCUCGCAAGAACCACUCCUAGGGAAAUUGGCCCGGGUGAUUU